rnacentral:rRNA from 1 species
GGGUCAUCAGGUCGGUCGUGCCACUGGUAUGAACUGGCCUCGCUGAUUCCUCCCUCUUGACGAACUGUGAUGCCAUUAAUUUGGUGUCGCAGGGAAUCAGGACUGUUACUUUGAAAAAAUUAGAGUGUUUAAAGCAGGCUUUCGCUUGAAUACAUUAGCAUGGAAUAAUGAAAUAGGACGUUUGAUUCUAUUUUGUUGGUUUCUAGGAUCGACGUA